UACGUAGGCAGCAAGCGUUGUUCGGAGUUACUGGGCGUAAAGGGCGUGUAGGCGGUUCGUUAAGUCGGGUGUGAAAGCCCGGAGCUCAGCUCCGGAAGUGCGCCCGAAACUGGCGAGCUGGAGCGCGGUAGAGGAGGGUGGAAUUCCUGGUGUAGCGGUGAAAUGCGUAGAUAUCAGGAGGAAUACCGGUGGCGAAAGCGGCGCACUGGACCAUAACUGACGCUGAGGCGCGAAAGCUAGGGGAGCAAACAGG
rnacentral:rRNA from 1 species